AGACUUUUUGGAUUAAAAUUACUGCAACAAAUAUUAUUUAUUGUAAUUACUGCAGGUGUUGAUUGUGAAUUUAGGUUUGCAGGCAGCUGGACUGCUUGAGAAAUUAAAUGUUUUUUUCAAUUCUGAAA